ensembl:lncRNA
GGUGACGGACAAAAGCAACAAACACCUGUACACAAAGCAGUGGCUGCAUUUCAUCCAUCCAUGACGAUAACCUGUGUGGUUGCCUGUGUGUCUCCUGUCAUACGCCUUUAAAUGUGACUGUGCUGUUGGAACCAUGAUGUUCUCUGCUGUGGAGCGGCUCAAAAUGGAGUCUUGGCCGUUGUCUUUUCUCUGUCUGUCUGUGUCAAGGGGCACCAGUAACUACUGCUCUCACUGCAUCAGACAGAAGAUAUGCAGUGUGUGCAGACAAGGGAAACAUAUUUAUUUGAGAAUCUCUUUAGGGAAUGAGUUCUUUGCCCCUCGGGCUGUCUGCUUCAUGUGGAACCCUCACUGAGACUGCCUCUAUGCAGAGACAUGGCUCUGUCUGCCAGUGGACUUCCAGUUCAGACUGUGUGUACAGCUGGUCCCUUCCUGCAAGAACAUCUGGAGAUCCUGCUCCUCUGUCUGCAGCCUCACACUGGUUGGACAAAGCUACUGGUCAUUGGGUUUUGUCUGGAGGAAGGCUCUUCCCCUGAAUAUAGCUCUCCUAUGGACCUCCAGCCCCUUCGGUCCUGUCCAAACCUCUACAGAAGAGAAAAAUGGAUCCGGUGAUGAGAAGAGGGGGCUGGUGUUUAUUGUUUCUUUGGGGGUUUUUCCCCAAACGUUUUUAAACUCAGGUGUAGAAAAGGAGGAACUUUAAGAUUGAAGAGAAGCCGUCAUCAGAACCCUGUCGACAGACGGGCCUUGCCGUUUACUUUUUGUUGAAUGUAUGUGUGAAUGAUAGAUAUAGACCUGCAGAGAGCCUUCUCUGUUAUGCACUAGGGAUAGUCUACACAUACUGGAGUGGCCUUGGAAUUUUUACGUUGGUGCUUGUUUUAUAUAUAUAUAUAUAUUAGUCGAAGUUGGAAGUUUACAUACACCUUAGCCAAAUGCAUUUAAACUCAGUUUUUCACAAUUCCUGACGUGUUUAAUCCUAGUAACAAUUCCCUGUCUUAAGUCAGUUAGGAUCACCACUUUAUUUUAAGAAUGUGAUAUGUCAGAAUAAGAUAGAGAACAAGGUAGAGAAUGAUUUAUUUAUUUUGUCACAUUCCCAGUGGGUCAGAAGUUUACAUACACUCAAUUAGUAUUUGGUAGCAUUGCCUUUUCAAUUGUUUAACUUGGGUCAACCGUUUCGGGUGGCCUUCCACAAGCUUCCCACAAUAAGUUGGGUGAAUUUUGGCCCAUUCCUCCUGACAGAGCUGGUGUAACUGAGUCAGGUUUGUAGGCCUCCUUGCUCGCACAAGCUUUUUCAGUUCUGCUCACAAAUGUUCUAUAGGAUUGAGGUCAGGGCUUUGUACUGGCCACUCCAAUACCUUGACUUUGUUGUCCUUAAGACAUUUUGCCACAACUUUGGAAGUAUGCUUGGGGUCAUUGUCCAUUUGGAAGACCCAUUUGCGACCAAGCUUUAACUUCCUGACGGUUGUCUUGAGAUGUUGCUUCAAUAUAUCCACAUAAUUUUCCUCCUUAAUGAUGCCAUCUAUUUUGUGAAGUGCACCAGUCACUCCUGCAGCAAAGCACCCCCACAACAUGAUGCUGCCAUCUCCAUGCUUCACGGUUGGGAUGGUGUUCUUCGGCUUGCAAGCCUCCCUCCUUUUCCUCUAAACAUAACGAUGGUCAUUAUGGCCAAACAGUUCUAUUUUUGAUUCAUCAGACCAGAGGACAGUUCUCCAAAAAUAGGAUCUUUGUCCCCAUGUGCAGUUGCAAACCGUAGUCUGGCUUUUUUAUGGCGGUUUUGGAGCAUUGGCUUCUUCCUUGCUGAGCGACCUUUCAGGUUAUGUCGCUAUAGGACUUGUUUUACUGUGGAUAUAGAUACUUUUGUACCUGUUUCCUCCAGCAUCUUCACAAGGUCCUUUGCUGUUGUUCUGUUGUUGGAAAUUGCUCCCAAGGAUGAACCAGACUUGAGGUCUACAAUUUUUUUUCUGGGGUCUUUGCUGAUUUCUUUUGAUUUUCCCAUGAUGUCAAGCAAAGAGGCACAGAGUUUGAAGGUCGGCCUUGAAAUUCAUCCACAGGUACACCUCUAAUUGACUCAAAUGAUGUCAAUUAGCCUAUCAGAAGCUUCUAAAGCCAUGACAUCUCCUGAAAUUUUCCAAGCUGUUUAAAGGCACAGUCAACUUAGUGUAUGGUAACUUCUGACCCACUGGAAUCUGUAGACAAUUGUUGGAUUAAUUACUUGUGUCAUGCACAAAGUAGAUGCCUUAACUGACCUGCCAAAACUAGUUUGUUAACAAUAAAUUUGUGGAGUGGUUGAAAAACGAGUUUUAAUGACUCCGACAUAAGUGUAUGUAAACUUCCGACUUCAACUGUAACUCUUCACUGUAGUUGACCUCUUGUCUCAAACUAGAAUUAUGUUGGAUGGUUUUCCACACUUCCAUGUGUCCUGCUGGUUGGUAUACGCACUAAGUGAACAUGAGUUAGAAUCAACAAUUGAUGUAUGCUAAGGUCUUUUUUUAUGUUAAUGUUGUCAUCUUUACAGCCCAUUUCAUUUAACCUGGACCAUGUAUUGCAUUCCAUACAUUUGGCGAAAAAUAACACCUAACAUGGUAGUCCCACUGUAGCUCCUUUUUAUGGUGAGUUUUAUUAUUCUAUUCGUAACGGUUAAGAUUGUAUCCACAAUUGCACCCAUGCAUGAUUAUUUCUUCACGUCAGUGCUUCAUCCUCCCCAAUUCAAUUAACCUUAUAUAUGUCCUCAGGGUGUACAGUUUUAUACGGGUAUUUUAAUUAAUUAUUUGAAGGACAAGAAAAUAUGACUGGAAUUGUGACAAAUGAAUCAACCUAAUUUUAUGUGAAGAAACUGAUAAACCAAUAUUGUUUUUGCAAGAUUCUGUGUUAUUUUUGGUCCUCUUGUGACAGUGGGGGGGGAGUCUUGCUCACUGCCAACCUGUUUGCUUUGUUUGGGGUUAAAUAAAAUAUCUAUUCCGUUUUGUACUAAUUGGAAUAGUUGAGUUUUUCGACAUUCCAGUUUGUUUUUUGUUUAAUAUUGUUGCUCUUGUCAUUGCCACUAUACAGUACCAGUCAGAAGUUAGGACACCUACUCAUUCAAGGGGUUUUCUUUAUUUUUACUAUUUUCUACAUUGUAGAAUAAUAGUGAAGAAGACAUCAAAACUAUGAAAUAACGCGUAUGAAAUCAUGCAGUAACCAAAAAAGUGUUAAAUCCAAAUAUGUGAUAUUCUUCAAAGUGAGCCACCGUUUGCCUUGAUGAAAGCUUUGCACACUCUUGGUAUUCUCUCAACCAGUUUCACCUGGAAUGCUUUUCCAUCAGUCUUGAAGGAGUUCCCACAUAUGCUGAGCACCUGUUGCCUGGUUUUUCCUUCACUCUGCAGUCCAACUCAUCCUAAACCAUCUCAAUUGAGUUGAGGUUGGGUGAUUGUGGAGGCCAUGUAAUCCGAUGCAGCACUCCAUCACUCUCCUUGGUCUAAUAGCCCUUACACAGCCUGGAGGUGUGUGGGGUCAUUGUCCUGUUGAAAAGAAAAUUAUAGUACCACAAAGAGCAAACCAGAUGGGGUGGUGUGUCGCUGCAGGAUGCACUGGUAGCCAUGCUGGUUAAGUGUGCCUUGAAUUCUAAAUAAAUCACUGACCGUGUCACCAGCAAAGCACCCCCACCGUCACACCACCAUGCUUCAUGGUGGGAACUAGACAUGCGGAGAUCAUCCGUUCACCUGCUCUGCGUCUCACAAAAACACCUCGGUUGAAACCAAAAAUCUCAAACUCAUCAGACCAAAGGACAGAUUUCCACCAUUCCUAAUGUCCAUUGCUUGUGUUUCUUGGCCCAAUAAAUCUUCUUAUUAGUGUCCUUUAGUAGUGAUUUCUUUGUAGCAAUUUGACCAUGAAGGCCUGAUUUCACAUGGUCUCCUCUGAACAGUUGAUGUUGAGAUGUCUUACUUGAACUCUGAAGCAUUUAUUUGGACUGCAAUUUCUGAGGUGCAGUUAACCCUAAUGAACUUGUCCUCUGCAGCAGAGCUAACUCUGGGUCUUCCUUUCCUGUGGUGGUCCUUAUGAGAGCCAGUUUCAUCAUAGCGCUUGAUGGUUUUUGCAACUGCACUUGAAGAAACUUUCAAAGUUCUUAAUUUUCUGCAUUGACUGAGCUUCAUGUCUUAAAGUAAUGAUGGACUGUUUCUCUUUGCUUAUUUGAGCUGUUCUUGCCAUAAUAUGAACUUGGGCUAGCUAAUGUAUACCACCCCUAGACAACUAAUCGACUCAAAUUCAUUAGGAAGGAAAGAAAUUCCACAAACUAACUUUUAACAAGGCACACUUGUUAAUUGAAAUGCAUUCCAGUUGACUACCUCAUGAAGCUGGUUGGGAGAAUGCCACGACUAUGCAAAGCUUUUAUCAAGGCAAAGGGUGGCUACUUUGAUCUAAAAAAAUCCAGGGCUGUAUCACAUCCGGUCAUGAUUGGGAGUCCCAUAGAGCGGCGCACAAUUGGCCCAGCGUCGUCCGGGUUUGGCUGGGGUAGGCCGUCAUUGUAAAUAAGAAUUUGUUCUUAACUGACUUUAUCGAGUCAAAUUUUUUUUUUUAAACAUGUAAGAAAUAUAUUGAUUUAACACUUUUUUGGGUUACUACAUGAUUCCAUAUGCUAUUUCAUAGUUUUGAUGUCUUCACUAUUAUUCUACAAUAUAAAGAAAAACCAUUGAAUGAGUAGGUAUGUUCAAACUUUUGACUGGUACUGUACACGGUGAGUGAUUUUUGUCUUUGAACAAUUAAUCUGUGUAGAUUGAAGUCUUUCCCAUCUUAUCAUAUCCAUGUUGCGCCUGUGAGCCCCACAGGUAUAGUGAUGGCAACAAAUGAAUCUACCUCAUAGCCAGUCCACUGGCAUCCACUAAGUCCCUCCACUCACCAGAGUCAGUCCCCAGCACACAAAUGGCCUAACACUACUAUUGUCAUGACUAUGUCUAAUUAUCCCAGUGCCAAGUCAUGUUACUGUCCUGAACAAAAUCAUAGCGGACCCAUCCUUGGAACAUUUUAUUGUAAGGUUAUUUGUGUUACUGCCGGUGGGGGGUGGGGGGGGUUGUUAAAGGGCGUAUGUCUGAGGUCGUCAGAAAAGGGCUCUUUAAAUAUGAUCUUGUCUCACCAGCUGUAUAGAUUGCAUGCCUUCCUGCCACAGAGUGAGGUGAGUAGACAACCUGAGCCCUGUGGUUCUACUGGAUCUGUGUUAGGCAGCAUAGAGAUGGCAGUGUAGUUCCCUCAAUUAUAGACACCUAUGGCAUUAACAGGAAAUGUGCUCAAGGAGGGAUGAAUAUAGGAAAAUACUAGAAGCUGUGAGACUUUUGAUUUGUCCCAGGAUACUGUAUAUCAGGGAUCAUCAACUAGAUUCAGCCGCAGGCCAAUUUUCUUUCUUGAGCGAAUGGUCGGUGGGCCGGAACAUAAUUACAAAUAAUUUGUAUACUCCAAUUUGACCGCAAGAAGGCCAAAAAUAUAUAUAUCACCUAAAACAUCAUUUCAAACCUUGCUUACAUUUGUAUACGAUCACAUGUAUCUUUCUAUUAUCUGUGGGAAUUCUUAGGAACAAGUUUUGCUCAGAAAACUUGGGGGGCCAAAUAAAACCACCCGCGAGCCAGUUGGGGAACCCUGCUGUUUAAGGAUGUAUUGUUUUACUUGCUAGGGAUUUUUAGUACUAGAUGAGGUCUUCUCGUAGGUAGUGUGAUCAUUUGUGCUGUCCAUGUAUGGACAGUGUAGUUGUAAAUGGUCUGUGAGGUUAUCAUACUGUUAUGCAGCUUUGUUGUCGCUGAUGUGUAGUCUGCACAAGACAUGGAAGUCUGUAUGCCACAACACUCCACUUCUACUCUGUCAUCCAGUUUGUCUGCACUAGUAAAAUAUCUAGAUUUGAUUUAAAUGUGAAUCAUAUUUAUUUGCUCUUAAAUGUUGUACAUUUUGACUUUUUUUAUAUAAAUGUUAUCUUUGGUUGUUUUUUUGUUUUUAAGCAGUUGACAUUUACCUCUGUAGCAUGGCAGCAUCAAAAAAGACCCUGUAUGUUUCAUCUGACUGACAUAGAUUAUUUUGGAAAUGGACUGAAGUAUUUUCUAUACUGCACAUUUCUUAGAAUAAAUAACUUUUCCUGAAUUGAAGUAUGUUGCUUGUUCUCCAUUUUCUUUGGUGGGAGGGAGAGCUGAGGCUUGGGUGAUGUUACUGAAAAUGCUUAGGCCUAUCAAAGGACAGUUUCUUGUAAAGGAGUAGCCUAUCGGAUAGGCCUACUGGUAUGGCAGAAACGUAGGUGUAAGGCUUCUGACUUGAUUAUUUAAAUAAUGCAAGACUGUUUAUGCCUUGAUGAAUUGGAAAAUGGAAUUGGAAAAACUAAGACCUGGCUUCUGCAUUGAUGUUUCUGUCUUGAAGUGUUUGUCAUUGUCCUCGUUUUAGUACACUUUUAUAAUCGAUGUUAUAUCAAAUAAUUAAAUGGGAUACUCUUAGCCAUGGUCAGAAUUCCAGUGUUCAGGUACAGUAACUGUGGAUCCAUAUGUGCAAGGCAUGGACUUAUGGACCUGCAACCUUAACUGUCAAC